rnacentral:rRNA from 1 species
CCUACGGGAGUCAGCAGUGGGGAAUAUUGCACAAGGGGGGAAACCCUGAUGCAGCGACGCCGCGGGAGUGAAGAAGUAUUUCGGUACGUAAAGCUCUAGCAGCAGGGAAGAAAAUGACGGUACCUGACUAAGAAGCCCCGGCUAACUACGUGCCAGCAGCCGAGGGAAUACGUAGGGGGCAAGAGUUAUACGGAUUUACUGGGUGUAAAGGGAGCGUAGACGGCAGCGACAGUCUGAAGUGAAAUCCCAUGGCUUAACCAAGGAACUGCUUUUGAAACUGUGCAGCUGGAGUGCAGGAGAGGUAAGCGGAAUUCCUAGUGUCGCGGUGAAAUGCGUAGAUAUUAGGAGGAACACCAGUGGCGAAGGCGGCUUACUGGACUGUAACUGACGUUGAGGCUCGAAAGCGUGGGGAGCAAACAGGAUUAGAUACCCCUGUAGUC